rnacentral:lncRNA from 1 species
GGGAAUUGAACUCAGGACCUCUGGAAGAACAGUCAGUGCUCUUAACCACUGAGCCAUCUCUCUAGCUCUCCACUUGAUUUUCAAUGCACAAUUAGAAUAAUCUUUAUGCCACACAAAAUUUCCUAAAGCUGCCAGACGGUGGUGGUACACAUCUUUAAUUUCUACUCAAGAGGCAGAGACAGGAGGAUCUAGCCUGGUCUACAGAGUAAGUUUCAGGACUGCCACAGCUACACAGAGAAACCCUGUAUUGGGAGAAAGAAAUUCCCAAAACUAGUCAGUCAACUGGUAUUUGCCAAUUAUUUCUCAAAAUUGUAGCUGGACUCUUCAGAACACCAGCUCCUCAUUCCCUACCUGGCUGCAGCACAAAGCUCUCCCAAGUAGCACUGUCAUGAACUUGGAGAAUUACUUUCUAACUGUUCUUGGAUCAGAAGGAUCUUGGGCUCAAAGGCCAUUAGAUAGUUCCAGAAUCAAGACGUUCCCAAGGCUUCUGGCUCAGAGUAGGUGUUCAGAAUCUUCCAGGUAGAAUCGGGAUCUGCUGGGUGGUCAAGCUGGAAAGGCCACCACAGUGCGGUGAAACGGAAACAUUCCCGUAAGAAUGAAAUAAGAGAGACUGGGAGAAAGAAGACUGACUGCCAGCAGGAGCCCUCUCUCCACUUCUACUGGUCUGUGCUAACCAGUUAUAAUCCUGAGAACCUUAGUCCAGCUCACUUUCCUGUUCUGUCUAGCUUCUGUAUUGGAUGUAUCCACUGUAGAAUUCCUACAAACAGAAACAAAAUCAAGUAAGGACAAUUAAGAGACAUCAGAACAGAAGGCAACAUCGUAGCUAAGUAUUUUAUACUUUACACACCCACACACUAUAAAAGAAAAAAAGCUAUGUGGCGACAUUUGCCAAAGCAGGCAGGCAGAUCUCUGUGAUUUUAGGCCAGCCUGGUCUAUGUAGCAAGUUCCAGGCCAGCCAAAGUUAUACACUAAGACUACUUCAAGAACUGAUAAUGAAAGUUAAAUUUCAAAUGGAGGGUGUUAGGAGUGGUGGGUUCAUUAUUGCACAAGCAGACUUAUAAUUAUCUGGGAAUGUGGGAUCCCAGGGUCGGUUUAUGGCACUGUGAAGGGAAUGGGACCUGGCCACCACUCUCACCCUACUUGUCAAAUGUCUUGGGUAACCCAGGCACGGGCACAGUCUGCGGGUGUGUUCUUACUCACCGUUACCAGUUUUCCUUGUUGGCAGCGCCUCGGGUGCCCUUCCUCCGUGGCAUCACUUUAACAUCCAAGGGAGAAGCUAGGUUUGAGCUGUGCUUUGUUAUCAUCUAAAACAAAACACAUUUCUUUUUAUCAGGUCAUGUCAAUGACAAAUAGGCAAGGUGUUAGAAACAUUCAAGAAAAGCCAUGAACUUAAGGGUUACUUACAAUACUUAAAAACAAAAAAACAAAAACAAACAACAGCAAUUCACACAGACAUUGAAUAGUAAAAAAAAUAUAUAAGAUUUUAACUUCAUAUGGAAGUUUGAUGUCUAAAGUCUAAAGACACAUUUACUGAAGUUAAUGGAAAUAUCCCGAGAGCCAUGUUAAGUCUUGAUGAGGAUGAAAAAAAAAAAAAAAAAAAAAGACAGGAAGACUCCCCAAUGCACUGAAGAGAAUAUAUGCAGCAGCUGUGAGUCUGUGCACUGUAGACAGCAAGUGAGCACCCUCAUGGACGGGGAGGCUCACAGGCCCCAGCUCUUCCUUGGGAACCGAGACACAGUGAAUGAGAGUGAAGCCCUGACGCCAGUGGCAUAGCCACUCAUAAACAAGCCCUCAGUCAUGCUCAUCUCUCCUUCAGAGUCUCUCUCAACAUAAAGACAGAGGGCGCUGUUGGGAAGGGGAAGGAGAUCUGCAAUAGCG